AUUGAACGCUGGCGGCAUGCCUUACACAUGCCAGUCGAACGGCAGCAUGAUCUCGCUUGCUAGAUUGAUGGCGAGUGGCGAACGGGUGAGUAAUACAUCGGAACGUGCCCUGUAGUGGGGGAUAACUAGUCGAAAGAUUAGCUAAUACCGCAUACGACCUGAGGGUGAAAGUGGGGGACCGCAAGGCCUCAUGCUAUAGGAGCGGCCGAUGUCUGAUUAGCUAGUUGGUGGGGUAAAGGCCCACCAAGGCGACGAUCAGUAGCUGGUCUGAGAGGACGAUCAGCCACACUGGGACUGAGACACGGCCCAGACUCCUACGGGAGGCAGCAGUGGGGAAUUUUGGACAAUGGGGGCAACCCUGAUCCAGCAAUGCCGCGUGUGUGAAGAAGGCCUUCGGGUUGUAAAGCACUUUUGUCCGGAAAGAAAUCGCACUUACUAAUAUUAGGUGUGGAUGACGGUACCGGAAGAAUAAGGACCGGCUAACUACGUG
rnacentral:rRNA from 1 species